UCCUUGGAUUUCUCUGUUCUCUCACUGUGGCCCUGAAGAAAUUCUCCACAUUGUUAGUUCCUCUUUGCCAGUAUUUUAUGGUGGGAAUACUAUGACCCUGUACCUGGCCACUCUGAGGUCAUGAAAGGAUUUCAUGUAUGACCUCAGUGGUGGUCAUAGUUUUAUGCUUUUCUGACCUAUGUGCCAGGUCCCAGACCCUGAAAGGGGAUAGGAAUGGCCCUAGGUAUCCCAAAACCAUCAGCUCCCCUAUUACUUACCCCAUAAUGUGUUGGACAUAUGAGGGGUAACGGAAUUCUGUCUUAUUGGCACCCUUCUUUGCCACAUCUGCUCCUGUGGACAGAAUCACCAGCUCAGGAUGAGGACCAAGAGGGUUACCCCAAAUGAUGAUCUAACCAAACAACCCACCAGCAAAAUGCUUUUUUUUUUUUAAGUAAAAGAAGAGGAUCAAAUGCAGAAUGCAGCCUUGUUGAUGGCAUGCUACCAUUUAUGUGGCCUGGAUGCAGGGCAUGGACACAUUUGUCUGUGUACUCAGCACCUGUCUCCAGUGGCCCACUGGAGCAUCAUUGCCCAGGAAGGAGGCCCUGGUUGGGAGGGAGACUCUUCUGUGAAUGCACUGGAAGUCUUAUAGAAAGAAGUUUCCAUCUAGAAAAGGAGAGUUGCAUAGUUUGGCACUGGAACCCAUUCCUGAGCAUUGUGCCUACUCUCUCUGUGGCACUUUAAGUUCUUAAAGUACAUGGAGAAACUGAGACCGUGAGAUGCCCAACCACCCAGCAAGGUCAGCUUGCCGAAGGAAUGCUUGGGCAGAGGCACAGUGAAGCCUCCCCUGGGCACUUUCUGGGUGAUCCUCUGGCAGAAAGUACACAAAAGCAGAACAGAUGGCCCUGCCAUGUCUGUCCACAACUGCCCCGACCAGCCUGCCUCCUAUCAUUUCACAGAAACAAGAUUUCAAAAUUCAGGAUGACGCUAUUCAGCUCCAGCAGAUGAACCACAACCAUUAAUGAACCAUUAAUUACACCAACCUGUGUACUGUUCUUAUCCUCCUUUGUAGGUAAGAACAUACACCUGAUUCAAGACUGACCAAUGAGAUAAAAGGAGUUUCCGAGACAUGAUUUUCCUGCUGAAACAAUCAGUCAUAGCUGAUAUUUCCCUUCUUACUUCUUCCUGCUUUGAAUGUGGUUGGGAUGGCUUGGGCUUGGGCAGAAAUUUUGUAUGCAUGAAGGGAACCUGGUAGAAUCUAGAGAUGUUGAACCUGACAUCACUGAGCUGCUGAACCAAUGCUGGUACUGUUACUGACACAAGAAAAAUAAAACCCCAUUCAUGUGAGUCACUAUAGAUGCAUUUUCUAUUACUUGCAGCCCAACUCAGCCCUAACAAGUACACGUAUGUAUGAUACAGAAUUAAUAUCAACUAGGUACAAAUUACAUUGGUUUAUAUCCCCAAGGCUUAUUUCAAAGCUCCUAAGUUCCUCAACAUUUUGCUUCUCUUCUUGUCCUUGCUACCUACCAAAGAGAGGAAUGAGACCCACUGAAAGUAAAGUAUCCACAUACACCUCUACUGAGGGGUGACUUGUCUGCCUCUUCCACCUGACUCUGCACUGUUCAAGUUGGGGAAGUCUACACUCAUUUAUUUGUUAACAUUUAUUCUCUCCCAUCUAGAGUCCAGGAGUUUGAUGGGACAUA